AUUGAACGCUGGCGGAAUGCUUUACACAUGCAAGUCGAACGGCAGCACGGACUUCGGUCUGGUGGCGAGUGGCGAACGGGUGAGUAAUAUAUCGGAACGUGCCCAGUCGUGGGGGAUAACGUAGUGAAAAUUACGCUAAUACCGCAUACGAUCUAUGGAUGAAAGCGGGGGAUCGCAAGACCUCGCGCGAUUGGAGCGGCCGAUAUCAGAUUAGGUAGUUGGUGAGGUAAAGGCUCACCAAGCCGACGAUCUGUAGCUGGUCUGAGAGGACGACCAGCCACAGUGGAACUGAGGCACGGUCCAGACUCCUACGGGAGGCAGCAGUGGGGAAAUUUGGACAAUGGACGCAAGUCUGAUCCAGCCAUUCCGCGUGAAGGACGAAGGCCUUCGGGUUGUAAACUGCUUUUGUACAGAACGAAAAGGUCUCUAUUAAUACUAGGGGCUCAUGACGGUACUGUAAGAAUAAGCACCGGCUAACUACGUGCCAGCCGCCGCCGUAA
rnacentral:rRNA from 1 species